rnacentral:lncRNA from 1 species
UUGUGGCAUUACAUUACCUUUCUCAAAGUCUUCGGAAUCUUUAACACCUAACAUUUCCAACAAUAUGGCCACAUCCCAGGCCCCACAGGAAGCAGUAGUUUUUGCAAACCAGCAGCCCUGUUUUUGGACUACUUCCUUCAGACUGUCUGGACUUUUCACAGCUUUUCUGAACCCCGAGGUUCCCAAACGUGAGUACCCUUCUCUUGCUCUCUCCUCAGGAGAGCAGUGUAAGAUCACAUCGGCAUUUACUGACUCUUGGUGGUUCUGUGAUGGGAGUUUGGAGGUACUGGAGCCCAGAGGCUAGGAAGAGCCCUCUCGUCUCCCAGGUCAGAUGGUCAAAGAGAGAUGGAAGGAGGAGGUCGUGUAUAAGCCAGAACCUCAACACAUGGAUACUUGCCUUGUUUAUUUCAAAGCUCAAUAAAAACCAUGGGUGGGAAACCUGGCCUGUGUCAGUCUUACCAAUAACACCUUACUUGCAGUUAUAUCAAACAGUUCUCCAAGUACCUGUACCUUUCUUGUUCUGUGGACAUGUAGGUGAUAUUGCCUGUUAGUUAAAAUGUUAUCUUUUAUAUAAAAAAGAGUCCUGCUUCUUAUCAUGAUGUAUGUGACUUGAACAGUUGUUUCAUAUUAAAACUAUCUCUUCCCCAUGUCCUGUUGUUAUAUGCCUCUUCUGGGGAUACCAGUUCAGUACUUUUAUACAAACCCAAGUGUGUUCCACAUUGGUGACAAUGUAUUUUGGCAGUAGGUUGUCCUUUUGUUCUUAGUGUGUGUCUUAAGUCAUACAUGCACCAGUGCUGUGGUCUGUGGCAAAAUUACUGUAAUUCAAAUUGGAAAAUAAAACGUUUCCAGACUUUGUCCAACCUUUAUUCCUAUGACAUAGGAAAUGACUUUGUAAUUCUAAUGAUUUUGUCUGCUGGUACGUUUUACAAUAUUCUAUAAAGCAACCGAAACAUCAGUAUUUAUGAACCCAUAAAUAAAGGCUCUGAUGUCUUUGAGGAUC